rnacentral:ncRNA from 1 species
CCGCAUCAUCAAGAGCGGAUGCUUCGGCGUCCCACCAACCUGCCGUCCCGGCAAGGUGGUGCUGCACACGUAGGAUGUGGCCACUUCGGCAACCAAUGGGAUUCCU